UACGUAGGGUGCAAGCGUUGUCCGGAAUUACUGGGCGUAAAGCGUGCGUAGACGGUUAUGUAAGUCGGGUGUGAAAGCCCCGGGCUCAACCUGGGAAUUGCAUUCGAGACUGCGUAGCUAGGGUGCGGAAGAGGGAAGCGGAAUUUCCGGUGUAGCGGUGAAAUGCGUAGAUAUCGGAAGGAACACCAGUGGCGAAAGCGGCUUCCUGGUCCAGCACCGACGUUCAGGCACGAAAGCGUGGGGAGCAAACAGG
rnacentral:rRNA from 1 species